AAGUCCCGCAACGAGCGCAACCCUCACCUUUAGUUGCUACCAGGUUAUGCUGGGGCACUCUAGAGGAACCGCCGGUGAUAAGCCGGAGGAAGCGGGGAUGACGUCAAGUCCUCAUGGCCCUUACGGGCUGGGCUACACACGUACUACAAUGGUGGUGACAGUGGGAUGCGAAAGCGCGAGCUGGAGCGAAUCCCCAAAAGCCAUCUCAGUUCGGAUUGCACUCUGCAACUCGAGUGCAUGAAGUUGGAAUCGCUAGUAAUCGUGGAUCAGAAUGCCACGGUGAAUACGUUCCCGGGCCUU
rnacentral:rRNA from 1 species